GGACCGGACAGUUCGUCCGGAGGGAUGUGAGAUGUGGAGUCCGCGAUGAUCCAAUUCGAAUUCAGGUAGUGGGUAUGGUUAAACUCUUGGCGGACCAUUUCCUCCUUCUGCCACUCUUCCCAUCUUUCAGCCAAGCCGUCUCCUUCAAGCAUUCUGACCACUUCGGCCAUCUUCGGCCUGUCCAUUGGGGAGCCUUGAGUGCAUAAAAGAGCUAUCUGGAUUAGCUGUUCCACUUCUUCUUCUAUGUAAUUACUAUCAAGAUCGGAAUCGACCAGCGUUUCCAGCUUCCUGUCUUUCAAAAGCCCUUUUACCUGAAAUGCGAGCAUUGUAAUCAACUUGAAGCUAAAAAGUGGAAUGAAAUGACGUGUACCAGUACUGAGCUUGACUCGAAUUUAAUUGACAAAUAGGUCAAUCUUAGGGGCAUAAAAUAUCAGGCGGCACAGAUCAAGAUCAAGCUUAUCGAAAUUAUAUAAGAGUUUAAUUUUGAUUCAAGUGUACUGCUUUUCCAUUUUCAUCGUGCAAGGAAAAUAAAGUUAAGCUUCGCUCUGUUAAUACUGUAGUUAGUGUAUUGCUUUUGGCCAACCAAGUGAAUAAGAAUCGGAUAAAUAAAAACUAGACAAGGAUGACAAAACUCGAUCUUUGAAAUGCAUCACCAUUGAGAUAUGCAUGAUAGGAAGAUAGUACAUACCCAAUCAAGCAACAUGACAUCGUCAUCAUUUGCAAGCCUAGCAAGAUCGAAGGCCCUCUGUCCAGUAAUUAGUUCAAGAAGCAUAACGCCAUACCCGAAAACAUCAGUUUUCUCUGAUGACUUUCCAGUUGAAAGGUAUUCAGGGGCUAUAUGACCAAUUGUGCCACGAACAGCAGUUGUGACAUGAGUAUCUUUAUAGUCCAUCAGUUUGGCCAGCCCAAAGUCUCCAACAACUGCUUCGAAUUCCUCGUCCAACAAUAUGUUUGCGGCCUUCACAUCGCGAUGUAUAAU
rnacentral:lncRNA from 1 species